rnacentral:rRNA from 1 species
CGCCCUUACGGGAGGCAGCAGCAAGGAAUUUUCCCCAAUGGGCGCAAGCUGGAGGGAGCAACGCCGCGUGGAGGACGACGGCCUUCGGGUUGUAAACUCCUUUCGGGUGGGACGACCACGGCGGUACCACCAGAAGCAGCCCCGGCUAACUCUGUGCCAGCAGCCACGGUAAGACAGAGGGGGCAAGCGUUGUCCGGAGUUACUGGGCGUAAAGGGCGCGGGAGGCGGGUCUUGCGGGCGUCGGCGCUGAAAGGGCCCCGCUUAACGGGGCGGAGGGCGUGCCGAUACGGCGCAGACUUGAGGGCGAGCAGAGGGUGGUUGGGAAUUCCCGGGUGGAGGCGGUGAAAUCGCGUAGAGGAUCCGGAGGGAACGGCAGUUAGGAAGGCCGGCCACCUGGGCUCGUCCUACGCUCGGGAAAGUGGGAGAAACCGAUAGAACCCGGAGUCCGCGAACGAUGCGCUCGGGUUGGGACGUCGGGGUGCGGUGCUAGUCUAGGGUAGCUGCCGCUGGACUCGGGAGCUAAACUAAGGAUUACGGGCCGAAGAGCGGGUGUGUUAUUCAGAAGGACUACUGGUUAUAGUAGCUAAGCGCGCUGGGGGUACGUCUAUGUUUAGUGUUGGAUUGUAUCCACG